CACCGCUCCGCCCCCAAGAUGGCGGCGGCGCCUUUCCGUGAGGGCGGAGUGUGCGCGGAGCGGUUCCCUCGCUGGGAAUAAAGCGUGCUGUGAGGAAAGAAACCGCGCUGUUCACACUACUAAUCACAGACUGGUUUGGAAGGAGCCCUAAAGAUCAUCUCAUUCCACUCCCUGCCAUGGGCAGGGACACCUUCCACUGUCCCAGGCUGCUCCAAGCUCCAUCCAGCCUGGCCUUGGGCACUGCCAGGGAAGCAGAGGCAGCCACAGCUUCUGUGGGGAACAGUAUAUAGCACUAAUUUUCCAGGUGGAACUGCUUUGCUCAGCUGCUGAGGGUUGCAGUGGUGGAAGGUUAGCACAGAAUCACAGAAUAUCCUGAGCUGGAAAAGGCUCACCAGGGUCACGGAGUCCAGCUACACAGGCACCCCAACAAUCCCACCCUGUGCAUCCCUGGGAGCAUUGUCUGAACACUCCUGGAGCUCUGGCAGCCUCAGGGCCGUGCCCCUUCCCUGAGAUGCAUGUUUUCAGCUUUGUUCGGAGCUGAAGAGCUCUCAUGGGCAGCCUAGCACAUACCUGGUGCUGGGGUCAGGGCUGAGGCAGCUGAGCUUGUGCCCUGGUUGGGAUUUCACCGUGCUAUUCCCCCACCGCACCACCUGCCUGGGAUACUGAGGUUGUGUGAGCUGACCCCAAGAGAGCUUUUGGAUCCCAAGCAGAAAAUUCAGGCAGGGGCUUCUCCACCUCCCUGCUGGCAGACAAAGCGUGCAGGGACCUGGGACAGGAGCAUCCUCACAGACAGGACCUGGCUUUGCAGAGCUCUGCUCAGAGCUGGGGGGUGAGCGUGGAUGAUGCGUAUUAACACAACCUGUGCCAAAGUUUCAGCCAGCAGACAGCUUUCUGUUCACAGCUCAGCAAGAAGCAACAGCCCUGAACAUCUAAACUUCAUGGCCAGAGCAAUCUUUGCAGUAUCUUAAUUUUUCAUCUCAGUGCAUGGCUUUCGCGGUCAUUCCUUGCUAUUCGUAUGGUCAGAGAUUCUUCCUAAGUUUCUGAUCCCUCCAGCUGUGACGAUUGCAGUGUGUUCCUCUCCACCAGACGCAAACUGCUUUAAUUCCAAAUGUCACCUCUGAGGUCAUCCAUCCCCCCUAGCUCGCUCCAUGCCUGUCUUCCACUCAUCCAGCUAUUUCCCUCCUUGCUGUUGCAACAGCUCUGAUACAAGUCCCCUCUUUCAAAGCUUUCCCAAUCGGGCCAAUUCAUUAAUCCUCUCUAGCCGUGCCGCCCUCCCCCUCUCCAGCCCCUGCGCUCCGCCCGGUCCUUCCCGGCCGGUCACAUGCGGUCCUUGCGAAGGUCAUAUGAUGGAUGGGGACCGCCGGGCAGGGCUGUGGCGGGGCCCCGAGGCAGCACACCCCCAGCUGCCCCCACCCCUCUGUUCUGUGACUCACCAGGUGCUAAACCUGCGUCCUGCACGGGCGCGGAGGGGGAGGCACGAGGAGUUGCUCAAGGAGAGUUCCCUUCAGGGAGCUGAGCAGUGGGAUGGGUGCUGCACCCGUAUUCCAGACUGGGAACGAGAGCUGCUACUGCUCCCCUGCAGUCCUACCUGCCCAGAGGCCUCUGCUUAGAAGAUGCUGCCCUUGCUCUGUAAAUUAUAUCAUAGAAUGGGAUCCUAGAAUGAUUUGGGUUGGAAUGGACCUUAAAAAUCCUCUCAUUUUACCCCCCUUGCCAUGGGCAGGGUCGCCUUCCACUAGAUCAAGUUGCUCCAGCCUGACCUUGGGCACUGCCAGGGAUGCAGGGGCAGCCACAGCUGCUCUGGGCACCCUGUGCCAGGGCCUGCCCACUCUUGCAAUAAAUACCUUCUUCCUAAUACUCAAUCUGAACCUCCCCUCUUUAAGUUUAAAGCCAUUCUCGGUGUCCUGUCCCUGCAGGCCUUGUCCCCAGUGCCUGUGCAGCUCUCCUGGAGCCCCUGGAGGCCCUGGCAGGGCUGGCAGCUCUCCCUGGAGCCUUCUCUUGUGCAGGGCAGAGCCCCAGGUGUGCCAGGCUGGCUGCAGAGCAGAGGGGCUCCAGCCCUGGCAGCAGCUCCGUGCCCUCCUCUGCCCUGGCUGCAGCAGCUCCACGUCCUUGUGCUGCUGGAGGCAGGGCUGGAGCAGCUCUGCAGGUGGGGUCUCACCUGGCACAGGGGAAUGCCCCACCCUGACCUGCCUGUCACCCUGCUGGUGGUGCAGCCCAGGGUGUACCUCACCUGUACAGGAAAAGCCCUUUUGUUUUUCCCCUGCCCUCACUGCAAUCCUUCUGCCUGUCUCGUCUUGGACUUGGAGGUCCUGGGAUGAAUGUCAGCAGCAUCUGUACAUUACAGAGAGGAACAGAAGUUCAAGGCACUAAGAAAUGCUUCAAACUCUUGCUAAUUAAUUACAAAGCCUUUGACUCUUCCUAAUAAGCUUCACACAUGCAAUAAACACGAUAAAUGGGAGAAGUUAGGCAGUUAGUAAUAAAUGGCCAGAAGGUGAAGCAGCGCCUGCUGAGGACCAGCAUCCCAUCAUCCCAUUGCAGACUGCAAACAGAUGUGGUAGGUGUCCUUUUCAUUGAGACAUUGAGUAAUAAGAAUGGAUUCAGGGAUGGGAUAACCGAUGAGCUGUCAAAGUAAAAUGUGCAACGUGGUAAAGACUGAAAUUAGUAAUACUGUUGGUGUAUAAAGCCAAUUUCUGAGAAAAGCAGGAGACUCUCUGUAUUUCCAAGGGUGACUUGAGGCUUUCCCCUAUCUCAGGCAGAUCCCAUCUCUACUCUCUGCAUGGAUUGGAGAAGACAAAUGGUUCAAAGGGGAGGGUAAGGGAAGAACAAGGUUCUGGAGAGCAAAUGACACUGACCUUGGUGAUACACAGCCACAUCUUGUGCAGCUUAUUCCUGUCCUCAAGCUGUUUGUCACCCUUUUUCUUCACACAAAAGCUAGUGCGUAAAGUCUGUGUUUGUGGUUU